rnacentral:rRNA from 1 species
CAGCAGUGAGGAAUAUUGGUCAAUGGGCGCGAGCCUGAACCAGCCAAGUAGCGUGAAGGAUGACUGCCCUAUGGGUUGUAAACUUCUUUUAUAUUAGAAUAAAGUGCAGUAUGUAUACUGUUUUGUAUGUAUAAUAUGAAUAAGGAUCGGCUAACUCCGUGCCAGCAGCCGCGGUAAUACGGAGGAUCCGAGCGUUAUCCGGAUUUAUUGGGUUUAAAGGGAGCGUAGGUGGACUGGUAAGUCAGUUGUGAAAGUUUGCGGCUCAACCGUAAAAUUGCAGUUGAUACUGUCAGUCUUGAGUACAGUAGAGGUGGGCGGAAUUCGUGGUGUAGCGGUGAAAUGCUUAGAUAUCACGAAGAACUCCGAUUGCGAAGGCAGCUCACUGGACUGCAACUGACACUGAUGCUCGAAAGUGUGGGUAUCAAACAGGAUUAGA